rnacentral:lncRNA from 1 species
UUUGGAAUUCCAAAACUAAAUAAUUUCUAAAAGCGAAUGAAAGCUAUUCUCACAUUGCGUAUGCUUUUCAAACGUAAUAGUCUCCCUCCAGGCUCCAAUAGGCUUUUGGGCAGGAAGCAGACCCUUAGUCUGAGAAUCACAGCUCAGAUGUAUGUAGUCCUGUGGCCAGAACAUGUGCCCUGAUUUUUGGUUUAGAAAUCAGGACUGAUUUUCUUAAACUCAUUUGGCAGGUGGAGCACUAGAAGUCACAGUACUUUUGCUUGUGAAAGUUCACUGGUAAAUUUAAUUCCCCCAUAAAAAACAGUGAAAUAUCUAACGAUGGAUCAUGUAACAGUGUUACAUGUUUUUAAAACUUUACAUCUCAAAAAGGGGCAUAGAAAAAAAAUCCUAUGCUGCAUUUUUGUUAAUAAUGCAUGCUAUUCCUUCAUCUAUUUUUUGUUUACUCUCUAGCAGACAAAAGUGAGGUAGACACCAAUGUUUAAAGCCUAAUUCCAAUUUAUGGGAGAAGAAUUUAAAAUCAUCCUUCCCAUCUACGCUUCCUGCCUUGUCUCUAUCUUUUUAAACAUUUAUUGAGCACUUAAUAUGUGACAGGCAUUAUCUUAGGUGCAGAAUACUGCAGUGAAUAUAACAAAGGGUUGAGAAUACUGCAAACAUUCUAUUAACUAAUAUUUUCCUCCUGCAAACUCAGAUGUGUUGGUCAAUGCCCUGGUCCCCCUAGGGACACCAGUCCUCAGAGCUUAUGAAGUGAUAUAUAACAGUGACUUCUAAAUAUAAUAUUUCUGAAUGUGGGAUCAAGUUAGCAGGAAUUCUGUGGUCUGUGUCUCUAGGAAUGUGUUUCCUGUUUGGAGAGAUUUCUUACCUUGUGCUGGGAAAACAUUUAAAAGGAGAGCCACAGGCUCUGGACAACCAGUGGGUACCCUCGCCAGACCAGGCUGGACAUACCGCUGAGAUGCCAUGGUCAUAAUAUCUGGGUCUUAGCCUGCUGCUGUUCCUUGUUCUAAUGGAAAGACAUGGAAGAGGCUCCACCAGGAGAGACCCUCUCAGUAGGGAGAGACCCUCAGCUGCCCAGUAUCGGCUUGUACAAGGGAGCUUCCAAGGCUUACGCAUCUGACCACAGGGCAACCACUGAAAUCAGAACGGCUUUGAGGACUCUGGUAGCCCCCAAAUGCUGGUGGGUUAUGAUAAAGUGAUCGAGUUUCAUGUCUGGUCAGUCCAAGGCUCUGGAGGAUUCAGAUCCAGGACUCUAGAGUCAAGGAUUAAUGUUCUAGGAGACCCCUCCUUGCCCCCAGAGUGGUUGUGCUCCUUCUCCCUCCCCCUACUGAAAGUCUCAGCCUUGUUCCUUCACUGACGUCUGGAGGUCUUGUUGCAGCUCACAUCCACCCUGCUUGCCUCCCCAUGCAUGGACAGACCUUUAGCCUCAAUGAGACCUGCUGGAUCACAGGCUUUGGCAAGACCAGGGAGACAGAUGGUAAGAGGCAAAGAUGCUUGGUUGUGUGUAUGUAUUCAUGUGCAUGUGUGUGUAUACAUGUGCGUGUGUAAGCAAUGUGUCUGGGUAUACAGAUGAAGGCCUAUGUCGAUGAGCGUUUGGGUAUACGGAUUCAUGGGCCUGGGUGUGAUUAUGUGUGUAUAGACACCUGAGUAUAUGCCGGUGCAGUCACUGUGACAAUGCCCUCCAAUCAAGACCACCUGGAAAACUGCUGUGGUUGAACUAGUUGAGUUCAUUGCUCAUUGCAAUGAGAGAGAGAACACACCAUGAAGAACCAUGGAGCAUCUCAGCAAGAGGGUGUCAGAGAGGGAAUGCUCGUAGGAUUUAGGUGGCUUGGGGAGGGUUCAAAGACGCAGGACUUUUCUCUAAAUUGUGGUGUCAGGAAGCAGGGGUUAUGAUUGGGAACCUUAAUAAUCUUAUCUAGAGGCCGGGCACCGUAGCUUACACCUGUAGUCCCAGCACUUUGGGAGGCCAAGGUGGGAGAAUCUCUUGAGCCCAGGAGUUCAAGACCAGCCUGGGCAUCAUGGCAAAACCCCAUCUCUACAAAAAAUAGAAAAAUUAGCUGGGCAUGGUGAUGUGUGCCUGUAGUCCCAGCUAUGAGAGGGGCUGAGGCAGGAGGAUCACUUGAUCCCAGGGAGGUUGAGGCUACAGUGAGCCAUGAUCAUGCCACUGCACUCUAGCCUGGGUGACAGAGUGAAACCCGUCUCAAUUAAGAAUAUAUAUAUAUAUAUAUAUAUAUAUAUAUAUAUAUAUAUAUAAUCUUAUCUAGGAGCUCUAAGUGGUAAGGAAGCAGCAGUCACUCAUAUUGGCCAGGAGAGGGGGAUGUCUGGUACUGUUGUGGUUUGCACAGUGACCUUGUUUUUGUCUGGCCUUAAACAAGAUGAUGAAGUGGUCUUGUUUUCAUGUCAUCCCAAUCACAGAGUGCCUUGUCCUGUGAGAUUGCUUACUUUGAGCAGGAUGACCCCAUGGUUAGACUCAGGCCACUUCCAUGCAUCAGGACCGCUUUUCCCUCCCUCCGUGAGGCAGAGCAAUGACUGAUGUGGGUGCAGCCUACUUCUCCUCUUGUCUCCAUACCUGACUAGCUGUGUGACUGUGGGCAGGUCACUUCUCCAGCACCAGGCCUCCCCACCGGUAAAUGGAUUAAUGCCACCUGCUCUCUUUAGGGCACAUAGCUUCCAAAAACAAACAAAGCCAUGUAUCUGAGGGUGCUUUGAACGUAGGCAAGUGCUGUGCAACAUGUCGGGUAGCCUGAUAGGCUUGUGAGUGUGUCUGUGUGCAUGGAUGUCUCUGUCUCACGUGCAGUGAGCUGUGUCUUGUGUGAGGGCGUGUGUGCCCAUAUGUCCUGGGUGUCCAACCACAGAGGGCCUCCCUUGGGUGGGAGCCAGGCACGGGCAUGGCACCCUCCAUUCCCAGGAGGCUGUGAUUCUGGGUCUUGGGGUGGCAGCUGGACGGCCAGGAAGCUAUCUAGAAUCUCACUGGCUUCCCAUCCUCUGUCUCCUCCAC